UUUUGCCUGCGGGCUUAAUUUGACUCAACACGGGGAACCUCAUCAGGCCAGGACACCGGAAGGAUUGACAGAUUGAGAGCUCUUUCUUGAUUCGGUGGGUGGUGGUGCAUGGCCGUUCUUAGUUCGUGGAGUGAUUUGUCUGCUUAAUUGCGAUAACGAACGAGAUCCUACCCUACUAACUAGUCGAAACCGGCAUCCCCUGUGCAGCCGGCGACCAACACUCUUCUUAGAGGGACAGGCGGCUUCCAGCCGCAGGAAGUGGGGCAAUAACAGGUCUGUAAUGCCCUUAGAUGUUCUGGGCAGCACGCGCGCUACACUGAAGGGAUCAACGUGUGUUUUCCUUGCUCGAGAGGGCCGGGUAACCCGUUGAAACUCCUUCGUGCUAGGGAUUGGGGCUUGCAAUUAUUCCCCACCAACGAGGAAUGCCUAGUAAGCGGGAAUCAUUACUUCCUGCUGAUUAAGUCCCUGCCCCU
rnacentral:rRNA from 1 species